ACGGAAGGCAGCAGUGGGGAAUAUUGGACAAUGGGGGAAACCCUGAUCCAGCGACGCCGCGUGAGUGAAGAAGUAUUUCGGUAUGUAAAGCUCUAUCAGCAGGGAAGAUAAUGACGGUACCUGACUAAGAAGCCCCGGCUAACUACGUGCCAGCAGCCGCGGUAAUACGUAGGGGGCAAGCGUUAUCCGGAUUUACUGGGUGUAAAGGGAGCGCAGACGGCAAAGCAAGUCUGAAGUGAAAGCCCGGGGCUCAACCCCGGGACUGCUUUGGAAACUGUUUAGCUAGAGUACUGGAGAGGUAAGCGGAAUUCCUAGUGUAGCGGUGAAAUGCGUAGAUAUUAGGAAGAACACCAGUGGCGAAGGCGGCUUACUGGACAGCAACUGACGUUGAGGCUCGAAAGCGUGGGGAGCAAACAGGAUUAGAUACCCUGGUA
rnacentral:rRNA from 1 species